GAUGAAGAACGUAGCGAAAUGCGAUACGUAAUGUGAAUUGCAGAAUUCAGUGGAUCAUCGAAUCUUUGAACGCAUAUUCGCUCUCUGGCAUUCCGGAGAGCAUGCUUGUUUGAGUAUCAGUAAACACCUCAACUUCCAUAUCUUUUUUGAAAUGGGAGUUGGACUUGAGUGAUCCCAACGCUUUUCCUCACCGAAAAGUGGCGGGUUACUUGAAAUGCAGGUGCAGCUGGACUUUUCUCUGAGCUAUAAGCAUAUCUAUUUAGUCUGCCUAAAAAACAGAUUAUUACCUUUGCUGCAGCUAACAUAAAGGAGAUUAGUUCUUGUGCUGACUGAUGCAGGAUUCACAAAGACAGGCUUCGGCCGACUUUGUAAACUCGAUCUCAAAUCAAGUAAGACUACCCGCUGAACUUAAGCAUAUCAAUAAGCGGAGGA
rnacentral:misc_RNA from 1 species